rnacentral:rRNA from 1 species
CCGCAAAUUGACACCGUAACUUCGGGAGAAGGUGUGCCGCUGGCGGUUAGUGACUUCGCGUCACGAAGCUGUUGGUGGUCGCAGUGAAAUGGCGGUUGUGACUGUUUACUAAAAACACAGGACUCUGCGAAGUCGUAAGACGACGUAUAGGGUCUGAUGCCUGCCCGGUGCUGGAAGGUUAAGGGGAUAUGUCAGCGCAAGCGAAGCAUUGAACCGAAGCCCCAGUAAACGGCGGCCGUAACAAUAACGGUCCUAAGGUAGCGAAAUUCCUUGUCGGGUAAGUUCCGACCUGCACGAGGGCAUAACAACAUCCGCACUGUCUCGACCAGGGACUCAGCGAAAUUACAUUGGGGGUGAAGAUGCCCUCUACCCGCGGAAAGACGGAAAGACCCCAUGAACCUUUACUGCAACUUGGCAGUGAUUUUCGGGUUGUUCUGCGUAGGAUAGGUGGGAGGCUUUGAAGCCGGGCUUCCGGGUUCGGCAGAGCCAACGUUGAAAUACCACCCUGAAUAAUCUGGAAAUCUAACCUGCGCCCAUGAUCUGGGCGAGGGACACUGCCUGGUGGGCAGUUUGACUGGGGCGGUCGCCUCCUAAAUUGUAACGGAGGCGUGCGACGGUUCCCUCAGGCUGAUUGGAAACCAGCCGUAGAGUGCAAACGCAUAAGGGAGCUUUACUGCGAGACUGACAAGUCGACCAGUUGCGAAAGCAGGUGUUAGUGAUCCGGUGGUACCACAUGGAAGGGCCAUCGCUCAUCGGAUAAAAGGUACUCUGGGGAUAACAGGCUGAUCGCGCCUGAGAGUUCACAUCGGCGGCGCGGUUUGGCACCUCGAUGUCGGCUCAUCGCAUCCUGGGGCUGGAGCAGGUCCCAAGGGUUUGGCUGUUCGCCAAUUAAAGCGGUACGCGAGCUGGGUUUAAAACGUCGUGAGACAGUUUGGUCCCUAUCUUCCGUGGGUGCAGGACACUUGAGAGGAGCUAUCCAUAGUACGAGAGGACCUGGAUGGACGAACCUCUGGUGCUCCGGUUGUCACGCCAGUGGCAUAGCCGGGUAGCCAUGUUCGGAACAGAUAACCGCUGAAGGCAUAUAAGCGGGAAGCUGGCCUCAAGACUAGGUGUCCCUGACGCAAGUCACUAAAGGCCCCUCGAAGACUACGAGGUUGAUAGGCUCGGUGUGGAAGCGCUGCGAGGCGCGGAGCUAACGAGUACUAAUAGGCCGUGAGGCUUGACCUC